rnacentral:snRNA from 1 species
GGAUGCGAGGGCCACCUGGCUGCAACAUCUGUCAUCCCAUUGAUCGCCAGGGUUGAUUCGGCUGAUCUGGCUGGCUAGGCGGGUGUCCCCUCCCUCCCUCACCUCUCCAUGUGCGUCUCUCCUGAAGGUGCGCGUUAGGCGAAGAGGACGUCCAUCCCCGGUAGAGGAGGAGUGCUCUUUGGUCAAGGACAUAGGAGUAGCUGCGCUCCCCUGCUAGAACCUCCAAACAAGCUCUCAAAUAUAGUAAGAAUGAAAACAAGAACUAACUGCAGACAUAACGGUAAAAAGUAU